GUUUAAAUUCCGCAAGGAAUUCCUGGUAAUUGUGUGCAAUGCUCCUAUUACUCUCCCAUAACGGAUUGGCCCAACCUAAAGCUUUACCUUUAAGUUGGUUCAUUAGCUAAUCAAUUUUAGCUCUGUCUGUGGGAAAAGAUCCCGUUGAGGACUCAAAAUGAUACUCAAUUUGGUUAAGGAAUCCCCGGCAUUCUUGAAUAUUACCAUCGAAAUGCAGUGGAGGAGAUGGGGAGAUACUAGGUGCCUUAUGUACUAUAGGUGGAGGUACAUAAGGCGGAGGUGAUACAGUUGGAGAAGCCGAAGCUUGCAGAUGCGCUGUUUGAGUAAGAAGCGUACGGAAGGCCUGGGCAAAUUGAUCCAUACAGUGAUCAUUCUCCUCUAACUUCCUUUCGCAAACAGCUAUGGGCUGACACAAUUCUACAGGAUCUAUGGCCCUGUCAUGAUGUCAGGAUUACUACUUGAUCCAGCACGUAGAAUUGUGUCACACAGAGGACUAAUAUUACCGGGCCUUAGAAUGGCCGGACUAAUGUACCAAAGAAUAGUCAGGAUACUAGCCGAGGUCAUGGGACACAGAAAGCGACACAACGAUAAAGGAAAGCCAGAAGUCAGGGAUACCAAAAUACAGGGAAGUCGAAGUCAAAAUCAAAGCCAAAGUAAAAAAACAGAAUAUAACCAUUCAGGAACAUACUCUCGGACAACCACUAGGGAAACCAUGACAGGGCAAUGAGGAAAGAUAAUUUUGAGUUUAAAUACAUGCUUUACCUUUCUGAUUGGCCGAGAUCGAUCCUUGACCUCAAAACGCGCGCGCGGUGCCCGCGUGACGUCACACGCAAGCCAACAUCGUCAACCUCGUGGGCGGACGUGGGGUAUAAUUUUCCGUGGAUCCGCAGCGGCCGGCGUCCAUUAACAUGCCGCAAGUGUCAGUCAUGCAGACGCAGUCCACUGGUUGCAGAGACCACAAGGUGAGAGAGAGUAUGUUACACUCUCUUGUUCUCCUUUUUCUGU